rnacentral:rRNA from 1 species
UACGUAGGGUGCGAGCGUUAAUCGGAAUUACUGGGCGUAAAGCGUGCGCAGGCGGUUCGUGAUGUCUGAUGUGAAAGCCCCGGGCUCAACCUGGGAACUGCCUUUGUGACUGCAUAGCUAGAGUACGGUAGAGGGGGAUGGAAUUCCGCGUGUAGCAGUGAAAUGCGUAGAUAUGCGGAGGAACACCGAUGGCGAAGGCAAUCCCCUGGACCUGUACUGACGCUCAUGCACGAAAGCGUGGGGAGCAAACAGG